rnacentral:rRNA from 1 species
GACGAACGCUGGCGGCGUGCUUAACACAUGCAAGUCGAACGGAAAGGCCCUGCUUUUGUGGGGUGCUCGAGUGGCGAACGGGUGAGUAACACGUGAGUAACCUGCCCUUGACUUUGGGAUAACUUCAGGAAACUGGGGCUAAUACCGGAUAGGAGCUCCUGCUGCAUGGGGGGGGUUGGAAAGUUUCGGCGGUUGGGGAUGGGCUCGCGGCUUAUCAGCUUGUUGGUGGGGUAGUGGCUUACCAAGGCUUUGACGGGUAGCCGGCCUGAGAGGGUGACCGGCCACAUUGGGACUGAGAUACGGCCCAGACUCCUACGGGAGGCAGCAGUGGGGAAUAUUGCACAAUGGGCGGAAGCCUGAUGCAGCAACGCCGCGUGCGGGAUGACGGCCUUCGGGUUGUAAACCGCUUUCGCCUGUGACGAAGCGUGAGUGACGGUAAUGGGUAAAGAAGCACCGGCUAACUACGUG